rnacentral:lncRNA from 1 species
CUUCCUUACCUCCGUUGUGGAGUAGUAGACUGAUUUCAUCUUCACAGUCCUGGUCAAUCACCCCAGAUAACACUGUAACUCCUUUCUUAGCCUGUUGCCUUAAAGGUAAGAGGAGCCCAAAGUUUCCAGGUGGCAAUCUUAACUUCCAGCUUAACAGAAUCAUUGUUGUGUCUCCUGGUGGCAGCAUUCUCCUUCUGGAACUAAGAACUCUAGGCCAGCAGAAUGUAAUGUCAUGGAAACAGGAAGCAAAAAUUUUGCUAGUAGAUCACUGGGGAUGAUGGUGAGUGGUGUCACUUCCACUUCCAUCCCUUUAAUCCUGGAGCCGUGAGUCCUGGCUAUGGGAGAAACAGUGCCAUAUAUGGGAUGCUGAUUCAGAGCAUACACAGUCUUCUGGAGAACUUUACCCCAGGUCUGCAAAGUAUUGUUACCUAGUUGGCAUUGUAAUUGUGACUUCAAAAGGCCGUUCCAUCAUUUUAUCAAUUCAGCUGCUUCAGGAUGACAGAUAACAUGCAGACUACCUGGUCAUGUGGCCACGUUCUCAUGGUGAUGUCAGAGGGAAGAGUGCCAGCAGAAGUACUCUGCUUAGAUCACAUCUUCUAUCAUCCCCUUGUCCAAAGAUUUCUACAACAAUCCCUUUCUUGGCUUUCCUGCUUUCCUUGAUUUGGAAAGGACUCCAGCUUAUGAAAGAAAACGCAAAGAAAGAAGAGACCAUUCCACUGAUUUUGGGAACAAGACAAUAUAAUGAUCACAUCUAUGCUUUACAAAGAAAACUCUGCAUCUAUAUGAAGAAUAAAUGAUGGAGCUAGGCUGGAGAAGUACACUACUUGAAGUCAACAAGAAAGCAGCUGGUGAAAGAUGAUGAGACACUUAUUAGAGGAAGAAGCAGUGAGGAUGGAAGGGAGAGAAAUAUACACUAGAGGCACUGGAAAGUGCAUCACCCACCUUAUUGAGUCAUCAGAUAUGAUAUUCUGAAUUUC